UUGCUUUGAGCAAAAUAAGUAUUCUUUCCUUGUUAUACUAACCCAGGCAUCUUUUGCCCCCCUAUAAGACAGUCUUGCGACGAACUUGUGUUGCUCCAUGCUACACCCCAUUGUUUAAAGAUAGGAUUCACCACAGGUGUCUCUUCUGGUGAUUACUUCGGACAAACUCCCAAAAGGAACAUGGUCGCCUCUUGCCAUCUGCAAAAAUAUAUCACCAGGGAUCGGUAAGAAAUACCUGUACGUAAAUAUAUUUACGGGAAUUGUUUCUCUUCUCUCACAAGAGCGUUAAGGAGUUCAAGUGCAUUUUCCGGGGCAGUCGGAGCAUUACCACCAGAGCUAGCCAUCAGGAUGCUUGGGUCAGCCUUGACUUUGAAGGGAGGAAUUUCAUGAAACUUUUCAUAAUCUUCGGACAUGUCUGUCUUGCCCUCCACUCCCACGAUGUCCCUUUUUCCUGAAAGAACUAUGUGGCGCUUUGGCUCAUCGUAUGAUGUAUUCGCUUCCUCAUCUUUUCUUUUUCUCGGUUUGGUAGACAUGUCCUUCACAUAGAUAACCUGUGCCACAUCAUUGGCUAGGACGAACGGUUCGUCAGUGUACCUAAGAUUUUUCAGAUCUACUUUUGUUAUUCCGUACUGUGGGUCUACCUGUACCCCGCCUCCUGACAGAUUGAACCAUUUGCACUUAAACAAAGGGACCUUAAAAUCAUGUCCGUAGUCAAGUUCCCAUAUGUCCACUAUGUAACCAUAAUAUGUGUC